rnacentral:rRNA from 1 species
GAACCGUCUAGAGGUAAGCGGGUGGACCCGUCCAGUCGGCCCUCGGAAUUCAGCUUUUGGGAAUGUCUGCUGGCGCAGUUCUGGGAUCCCUGGGACUCGCUCGGCGCCAGACCGGACUCCCGAGAGUGCACUUUCCGUGUUGGCAGAGCGUCACGACCGGUUUUGCGGCGGUGAGAAGGCCCUCGGGAAGGUAGGUCGCCGUCCUUCGGGGCUGCGACUGUUAUAGACCUUGGGAGAUGGCCGCUGCGAGACCGUGGAUCGACCCGUCGUAUGGCAGUGGGGCUUCCCGCGUGCGUUCGACUCGGAAGGACAGGCUUGCCGUGCUUCCGGACUGCGCUGCGAGGGAGGACUCUGCUAUAGCCCGCGAUGUGUUAGGGUCAGUGACACACGAUCGGUAAUCCACCCGGCCCGUCUUGAAACACGGACCAAGAAGUCCAACAUGUGCGCGAGUCAUUGGGUCCUACGAAACCUAAAGGCGUAAUGAAGGUGAAGGCAGGUUCGGCUUGCUGAGGUGAGAUCCUCGUCCUCGGGCGGGGCGCAUCACCGGCCCGUCUGCAAAGGCGGAGCAAGAGCGCACACGUUGGGACCCGAAAGAUGGUGAACUAUGCCUGAGCAGGAUGAAGCCAGAGGAAACUCUGGUGGAAGUCCGUAGCGAUUCUGACGUGCAAAUCGAUCGUCGAACUUGGGUAUAGGGGCGAAAGACUAAUCGAACCAUCUAGUAGCUGGUUCCCUCCGAAGUUUCCCUCAGGAUAGCUGGCGCUCGUCUUAACAGUUUUAUCCGGUAAAGCGAAUGAUUAGAGGCCUUGGGGACGAAACGUCCUCAACCUAUUCUCAAACUUUAAAUGGGUAAGGAGUCGGACUCGCUCGAUCUGGAGUCCGGACUGGAAUGUGAGUGCCAAGUGGGCCACUUUUGGUAAGCAGAACUGGCGCUGUGGGAUGAACCAAACGUCCGGUUAAGGUGCCUAACACUGACGCUCAUGAGAUACCAUAAAAGGUGUUGGUUGAUAUAGACAGCAGGACGGUGGCCAUGGAAGUCGGAAUCCGCUAAGGAG